rnacentral:rRNA from 1 species
AUUGAACGCUGGCGGCAGGCCUAACACAUGCAAGUCGGACGGUAGCACAGAGGAGCUUGCUCCUCGGGUGACGAGUGGCGGACGGGUGAGUAAUGUCUGGGGAUCUGCCCGAUAGAGGGGGAUAACCACUGGAAACGGUGGCUAAUACCGCAUAACGUCGCAAGACCAAAGAGGGGGACCUUCGGGCCUCUCACUAUCGGAUGAACCCAGAUGGGAUUAGCUAGUAGGCGGGGUAACGGCCCACCUAGGCGACGAUCCCUAGCUGGUCUGAGAGGAUGACCAGCCACACUGGAAAUGAGACACGGUCCAGACGCCUACGGGAGGCAGCAGUGGGGAAUAGUGCACAAGGGGCGCAAGCCUGAUGCUGCCAUGCCGCGUGUAUGAAGAAGGCCUUCGGGUUGUAAAGUACUUUCAGCGGGGAGGAAGGCGAUAAGGUUAAUAACCUUGUCGAUUGACGUUACCCGCAGAGGAAGCACCGGCUAACUCCGUGCCAGCCGCCGCAGUAA